AGCUCUUGCAGGUGCCUCUGGACAUGCACAAAGAGAGAAAAACGCAACGAGGCAAGAUUUCAAAAGAGGUCAUUGAAGAGUACAAGAAGAAACUCGCGGAGAAAAUCGCUGAAUCCGGAGUUGCAAACAAAGAGCAGGCCAUGA